CCUUGAGAGUCCUGAAGGAACGUUGAAGACGACGACGUUGAUAGGCCGGGUGUGUAAGCGCAGCGAUGCGUUGAGCUAACCGGUACUAAUGAACCGUGAGGCUUAACCUUACAACGCCGAAGGUGUUU
rnacentral:rRNA from 4 species